UACGUAGGGACCAAGCGUUGUUCGGAUUUACUGGGCGUAAAGGGCGCGUAGGCGGCAAUUCAAGUCAUCUGUGAAAUCUCCGGGCUUAACUCGGAACGGUCAGAUGAUACUGCUUUGCUAGAGUGCGGAAGGGGCAAUCGGAAUCCUUGGUGUAGCGGUGAAAUGCGUAGAUAUCAAGAGGAACACCUGAGGUGAAGACGGGUUGCUGGGCCGACACUGACGCUGAGUGCGCGAAAGCCAGGGGAGCAAACGGG
rnacentral:rRNA from 1 species